CGAAAUCACAAAACAAAGUCUGAAACUAUUUAACGAUUUUCUAGACAGCAGAAAUCGAUGUUAACACAAACACAUUUUACUGACUUUAACAUUAGAGCUUUUAAAGAACUAUCAUGCAAUCAUUGCGAGGCAUUACGAAACAUUACGAGCGUCUUACGAUGGUUCACGAAGUCUACGAAGAGGUACGAAGGUAUACGAAGCAAAUUUAUUCAUUUUUUGACGUUAAUAUUAAAUUUGGAC